rnacentral:rRNA from 1 species
AUGGAAGAUUUCGUGGCUUGGAGAUUUACAAGGAACCAUAUCUUCUCGGUAAGAUCGGCUUAUUACGUAGAAUGGGAUCAUCAGUUCGCUCGCUGGUACGAGAGAACAGACGGACAACCGUCACAACGACACCCGGUUUGGGCAAAUCUGUGGAGCUCCCAAGUCCCAGCAAAGAUCAAGAUCCAUGCUUGGAGGAUUCUACAUGGUUUUAUUCCUUGCAGUGGGGUUCUGGUGAACCGGCAUAUUGGCACGGAUGAUAGCUGCCCUAUGUGUGCUGGUGGAUGUGAGGACAUCAUGCACUCACUGUUCACUUGCCCGAGAGCAGCGGAAAUUUGCAGAUGCCUGAAACUGGACAACUUCAUUGUUGAAGCUUGCGCGACUGACAGGGCGGGAACGGCAGCUUUGGACUAUAUUUUAUGUGCACCACCGCGAGUGAGUCCGUUAUCGCAUGCUCCUGCCCAAGCUCUCAUCCUAGUUGGAAUUUGGUAUAUUUGGUGGGAACGACGACAACACGUUCAUGGCGAGGAGGUGCAAGUCCCGGCGCGGUCAGCGUUGGCAAUUGCGGCGCUAACUGCUAACUAUUUUAAGGCCAUGAAGAAAACUGUUGAACCAAGGAAGAGCGGCUGGUCAAAGCCGCUUCAAGGCUUUGUGAAGCUAAAUGUAGAUGCAUCAUUCUGGGCACACUCCCUCCAGGGAGCUGUUGGUGCUGUCCUACGGGAUCAAAAGGGGGGAUUCGUUGCGGCGUUCAAUGAACAACUGGAGCAUGUUGCAGAUGCAGGGACGGCGGAAGCCUAUGCACUUCGACAUGGAUUGCCACCGGCGCAACAACUGGGGAUAUGUAAGCUUGUGGUUGAGUCUGACUGUCUCGAGGUGAUCAAUACCAUGCAGAAUGGAGGCUCCACGACUUCAGGCGCAGCGGCGAUUUAUUCGGAUUGUUUGGUCCUUGUUAUUGGUUAUACUUCGAUCACAUUUGUUCAUUGCCCUAGAGAGGCAAAUUCUGUAUCUCACGACCUAGCUAGGAUGGCAGCGCCAUCACCUUCUCUAUGGGUCGAGGAACCGCCUGAUUUUAUUGUAAAAGGCUUGGUGGACGAUGUAACAGUUAUAUGA